ACACUGGGACUGAGACACGGCCCAGACUCCUACGGGAGGCAGCAGUGGGGAAUUUUGGACAAUGGGGGCAACCCUGAUCCAGCCAUGCCGCGUGAGUGAAGAAGGCCUUCGGGUUGUAAAGCUCUUUCAGCCGGAACGAAAAGGUUACGGUUAAUACCGUGACAAAUGACGGUACCGGAAGAAGAAGCACCGGCUAACUACGUGCGCAGCCGCGGUAAUACGUAGGGUGCGAGCGUUAAUCGGAAUUACUGGCCGUAAAGCGUGCGCAGGCGGUUUUGUAAGUCNGA
rnacentral:rRNA from 1 species